rnacentral:rRNA from 1 species
UGGGAAUUUGGACAAUGGGCGAAAGCCUGAUCCAGCAAUGCCGCGUGUGUGAAGAAGGCCUUCGGGUUGUAAAGCACUUUUGUCCGGAAAGAAAUCCUUGGCUCUAAUACAGUCGGGGGAUGACGGUACCGGAAGAAUAAGCACCGGCUAACUACGUGCCAGCAGCCGCGGUAAUACGUAGGGUGCAAGCGUUAAUCGGAAUUACUGGGCGUAAAGCGUGCGCAGGCGGUUUGCUAAGACCGAUGUGAAAUCCCCGGGCUCAACCUGGGAACUGCAUUGGUGACUGGCAGGCUAGAGUAUGGCAGAGGAGGGUAGAAUUCCACGUGUAGCAGUGAAAUGCGUAGAGAUGUGGAGGAAUACCGAUGGCGAAGGCAGCCCCCUGGGCCAAUACUGACGCUCAUGCACGAAAGCGUGGGGAGCAAACAGGAUUAGAUACCCUGGUAGUCCACGCCCUAAACGAUGUCAACUAGUUGUUGGGGAUUCAUUUUCCUUAGUAACGUAGCUAAUGCGUGAAGUUGACCGCCUGGGGAGUACGGUCGCAAGAUUAAAACUCAAAUGAAUUGACGGGGUCAUAGCUGUUUCCU